rnacentral:rRNA from 1 species
AGAGCGAACGCUGGCGGCAGGCCUAACACAUGCAAGUCGAACGGACCCUUCGGGGUUAGUGGCGGACGGGUGAGUAACACGUGGGAACGUGCCUUUAGGUUCGGAAUAGCUCCUGGAAACGGGUGGUAAUGCCGAAUGUGCCCUUCGGGGGAAAGAUUUAUCGCCUUUAGAGCGGCCCGCGUCUGAUUAGCUUGUUGGUGAGGUAAUGGCUCACCAAGGCUACGAUCAGUAGCUGGUCUGAGAGGAUGACCAGCCACAUUGGGACUGAGACACGGCCCAAACUCCUACGGGAGCAGCAGUGGGGAAUCUUGCGCAAUGGGCGAAAGCCUGACGCAGCCAUGCCGCGUGUAUGAUGAAGGUCUUAGGAUUAGUAAAAUACUUUCACCGGUGAAGAUAAUGACUGUAGCCGGAGAAGAAGCCCCGGACUAACUCGUGCCAGCAGCCG